rnacentral:rRNA from 1 species
AGAGUUUGAUCCUGGCUCAGAUUGAACGCUGGCGGCAUGGCUAAAGCAUGCAAGUCGAACGAUACAGUGGCGAAAGGGCGAGUAAUGCGAUCGAACGUAUCCCAAGGUGGCGGAUAGCCUGGAGAAAUUCAGGGUAAUACGCCAUGUGCUCUAUGGAGGAAAGCUUUGGCGCCUCGGGAGCGGCGAUCGUCCUAUCAGCUUGUUGGUGAGGUAAAGGCUCACCAAGGCGAAGACGGGUAGCGGGUGUGAGAGCAUGACCCGCCGCAUCGGGACUGAGACACUGCCCGGACUCCUACGGGAGGCUGCAGUAACGAAUAUUCCGCAAUGGGCGAAAGCCUGACGGAGCAAUGCCGCGUGUAGGAUGAAGCGCCUUCGGUGUGUAAACUACUGUCAGAAUCUCGGAAACACUGACCAGAUUCAAAGGAAGGACCGGCUAAUUCCGUGCCAGCAGCCGCGGUAAUACGGAAGGUCCAAGCGUUAAUCGGAAUUACUGGGCUUAAAGCGUGCGCAGGCGGACUAGUAAGCGUCUUGUGAAAUCCCUCGGCUCAACCGGGGAACUGCAGGGCGAACUACUAGUCUUGAGUCAGGUAGGGGCCGACAGAACUAUCGGUGGAGCGGUGAAAUGCGUAGAUAUCGAUGGGAAUGCCAGUGGCGAAGGCGGUCGGCUGGGCCUGUACUGACGCUCAUGCACGAAAGCGUGGGGAGCGAACGGGAUUAGAUACCCCGGUAGUCCACGCCGUAAACGAUGCGCACUAGGUCGAUGCGUCUCUGACGGCGUGUUGGCCGAAGAGAAAGUGUUAAGUGCACCGCCUGGGGAGUACGGUCGCAAGGCUAAAACUCAAAGGAAUUGACGGGGGCUCACACAAGCGGUGGAGCAUGUGGCUUAAUUCGAAGCAACGCGAAGAACCUUAUCCUGGGUUUGACAUGCAUGGAUUAGCUCUGUGAAAGCAGAGUGACGCGGUCGGGUGGAACGUGCACAGGUGCUGCAUGGCUGUCGUCAGCUCGUGCUGUGAAGUGUCGGGUUAAGUCCCUUAACGAGCGCAACCCUUGUCGCUAGUUGCCAGCGAGUCAUGUCGGGGACUCUAGCGAGACUGCCGGUGUCAAACCGGAGGAAGGUGGGGAUGACGUCAAGUCCGCAUGGCCUUUAUAUCCUGGGAUGCAAACGUGCUACAAUGGCGUGUACAGAGCGAUGCAAGGCCGCGAGGCGGAGCAAAUCGCAAAAAGCACGCCCCAGUUCGGAUUGCAGGCUGAAACUCGCCUGCAUGAAGUUGGAAUCGCUAGUAAUCGGAGAUCAGCUACGCUCCGGUGAAUACGUUCCUGAGCCUUGUACACACCGCCCGUCAAGUCAUGGAAGCCGGGAGCGCCCGAAGUCGCCCCAUCUCAGGGGUGCCUACGGCGAGAUCGGUGACUGGGACGAAGUCGUAACAAGGUAACCGUA